GCUGUAGAUUAUCGAAGACAAGGGGGACAGCCAAGACAGCCAGGAGAACUUAGAGGAAGAAAAAUUAUGAAACAUUUAGUAGAUAUCAGAGAACUAAAUGAACAGGCCAAAGUAAUAGAUGAUCUUAAAAAAUUAGGUGCAAGUGAAGGAACCAUAAACCAGGAAAUUCAAUGUUACCAACAGUUAGAAUCUGUGGCUGUGAAUUACAUUCGAAGAGAUGUUUGUAAAAAAUUACGGGGAUCCAGUAUGCGAGUGAGUAGAUGUUUAAGAAAAAUUUUAUUAGACAGUUUUUCACUUUUUACUUUUAAAACUUAUCUAUGAUAAUGCUUAUGUUUUUUUUCUUUUAAGGCCAGUGAUAAUACCACCUGAUUUGUACA
rnacentral:lncRNA from 1 species